rnacentral:rRNA from 1 species
AACGAACGCUGGCGGCGUGCUUAACACAUGCAAGUCGAACGCGAAAUUUUUCUUCGGAAAGAAAGUAGAGUGGCGCACGGGUGAGUAACGCGUAAGUUAUCUACCUCGGCAUCUGGAAUAACUCACCGAAAGGUGUGCUAAUACCGGAUACGUUGAGUAAUCAAGAAAGGUGGCCUCUGAAUAUGCUACUGUGCUGAGAUGAGCUUGCGUACCAUUAGCUAGUUGGUAGGGUAAUGGCCUACCAAGGCAACGAUGGUUAGCGGGUCUGAGAGGAUGAUCCGCCACACUGG